rnacentral:rRNA from 1 species
CUGGGAGGACCAUCUCCUAAGGCUAAAUACUCUCUAGUGACCGAUAGUGAACCAGUACCGUGAGGGAAAGGUGAAAAGCACCCCGGAAGGGGAGUGAAAUAGAACCUGAAACCGUGUGCUUACAAGUAGUCAGAGCCCGUUAAUGGGUGAUGGCGUGCCUUUUGUAGAAUGAACCGGCGAGUUACGAUUUGAUGCAAGGUUAAGCAGUAAAUGUGGAGCCGUAGCGAAAGCGAGUCUGAAUAGGGCGUUUAGUAUUUGGUCGUAGACCCGAAACCAGGUGAUCUACCCUUGGUCAGGUUGAAGUUCAGGUAACACUGAAUGGAGGACCGAACCGACUUACGUUGAAAAGUGAGCGGAUGAACUGAGGGUAGCGGAGAAAUUCCAAUCGAACCUGGAGAUAGCUGGUUCUCUCCGAAAUAGCUUUAGGGCUAGCCUCAAGUGAUGAUUAUUGGAGGUAGAGCACUGUUUGGACGAGGGGCCCCUCUCGGGUUACCGAAUUCAGACAAACUCCGAAUGCCAAUUAAUUUAACUUGGGAGUCAGAACAUGGGUGAUAAGGUCCGUGUUCGAAAGGGAAACAGCCCAGACCACCAGCUAAGGUCCCAAAAUAUAUGUUAAGUGGAAAAGGAUGUGGCGUUGCCCAGACAACUAGGAUGUUGGCUUAGAAGCAGCCAUCAUUUAAAGAGUGCGUAAUAGCUCACUAGUCGAGUGACACUGCGCCGAAAAUGUACCGGGGCUAAACAUAUUACCGAAGCUGUGGAUUGUCCUUUGGACAAUGGUAGGAGAGCGUUCUAAGGGCGUUGAAGCAUGAUCGUAAGGACAUGUGGAGCGCUUAGAAGUGAGAAUGCCGGUGUGAGUAGCGAAAGACGGGUGAGAAUCCCGUCCACCGAUUGACUAAGGUUUCCAGAGGAAGGCUCGUCCGCUCUGGGUUAGUCGGGUCCUAAGCUGAGGCCGACAGGCGUAGGCGAUGGAUAACAGGUUGAUAUUCCUGUACCACCUAUAA